UACGGGAGGCAGCAGUGAGGAAUAUUGGUCAAUGGACGAGAGUCUGAACCAGCCAAGUAGCGUGCAGGAUGACUGCCCUAUGGGUUGUAAACUGCUUUUAUGCGGGGAUAAAGUCACCUACGUGUAGGUGUUUGUAGGUACCGCAUGAAUAAGGACCGGCUAAUUCCGUGCCAGCAGCCGCGGUAAU
rnacentral:rRNA from 1 species